AGACACUGAGGAAGGUUCUUGCUAAUACUACCAAAACUAUACAUAGCUAUCACAAAGGAUUUUCUAUAGGGAGAUAUUGAUCCAUGAAAAAAAACAGGAUAUGCGUCAGGUUCUACAGUGUGGAAUAAAAUGAAAAACUUCAAGGCUUCAGCUUUGAAUAUUGCAGUGUAAUAAAGGAUUGUGUGUCUAACACUCUAUAAGAUCAAUCUAAAGUGGAAGCUCUGCCUGUAGAGAGAAAGAGAUCAAUGACUCGAUUGGCCACGGAAUUAGCUUCCCUUCCAAUCAAUGGUGCCCUACAAUACUGCUUGUUAGUAAUAAUAGAUAACCUAACAGAUGAUCUAGUAAGAGAACUGCUCGUUUCUAGAAUCUGCAACAACCAUGAUGUGCAUACAUUCAAGUAUCUAGCUCAUUUACGAAGUCUUCCCAAGUUUGGUGCUAUUAUGCAUGCAAAGUGUUUAAAUAA